AGAAAAACGCCCUCCUAUCUGUUCAGUCGGUAGAUAACAAGACUUGGCCAGUGGCCUUUCUUGUGUUCGCAGAAAUUCAACAAUUCCGCCAUAUUGUCAUGCUUUCUUCCCAGGUAGCGGAGGAUAGCCAAGCUCUGGGCCAACCUGACGUCGUCGUCGACGUAGUACGGCAGGUUGGGGAAUGAAAGGCCCAGCGUGGACCUCUCCUUGUGCCACUUGUCGUACUCGGGAGGGGGGCCGACCUUGAACUGUUUGUCUUCAAACUGGACUCCCUUGUAGACGAGAAGGUUGCGGAUGGGUUGUGCCAGGGACCUCACAUCCCAG